GUUGCUGCCAGCUGCCACAAAUCGCGCUUCCUUUACAAAAUAAACAAAAAACCUACAAAUAGUAAAUUUACUUUACAAAAAAAAUUCCAACUUUUUCCUCUUUUGCACGAACAAAAUAAACAAAACCGAAAAUGUGCAAGUGCUUAAGUGAAAGCGUUGUUUGCUGCUGCUUCAAGUGCGCCUUGAGUAUGCUUAUCUCAUUGAUAUUUUCAUCAUUGGUGAUUCUUGCUAUAAUUGGUGGCCUUGUCUAUUACUUCUAUUAUUACGAAGACAACAAACACGACGAUGCUGUAAGAGAUCUUCAUAAGGAUCUUAAUAAAGGAAUUGAUAAUGCCGUCGAUGAAAUAAAAGAUAUAUACAAAGGAAUCAGGGGAUCAUAAGUCUUCUAAAAACAACUAAAGAAUUCGCCAGAAUCUCAUUCACCAUUUUUUGUAUUACCUUUCUUUGAGAAUCUCCUAAACGUGCAGAAUUAAAUGUACCUACUCUUAGAAUUAAAUAUGUUUCUAUUAUUUUUUUUUUAUUCAAAAAUUUCCACCACCUUGCAAAC